rnacentral:lncRNA from 1 species
CAGGUUGCAGAGCUGUCCAAAGAGGAGCACAACUCACUCUCUGUGGCCUACAAAAACAUUGUUGAAGGCUACAGGUCCACCUGGAGGGUCUCUUGAGCAUUGAGCAGAAAAACCAACACCUCUGACAAGAAGUUGCAGCUGAUCAAGAACUAUUGGGAGUGAGCUUCACAUCACUGAGAAAAAACAAAAAACAAACCAAAAAACAACAGAAAACUAUCAGGAGAAAGUCAAGUCUGAACUGAGAUCCGUAUGCAUUACUGUCCUGCAAUUUUUGGAUAACUAUUUACUAUCCAAUGCAACUAAUCUAGCGAGUACGAUCUUUUAUCAAAAAUAAAGGGAGAUUACUUCCAGUACCUUUGUUGCACGUGGUGAUGGUUGAAACAAAUGAUAGAUAAUUCCCAAAGAGCUUCCUAAGAGGCAUUUGAUAUAGUAAAGAGAUGUAAUCCAUAUACAUGUCUUAACAUUUCUGUACUUUACUAUGAGAUCCUUAAUAACCCAGAGCUUGCCUGCGAACUGACUAAAACCACUUUUGAUAGGCCAUAGAAGAACUUGAUACACUGAGUGAAGAUUCAAAGACAGCACCCUUAUCAUGCAGUUGCUUAUAGAGACAACCUAACAUUAUGGCCAUUAGACAGUGCAAGAGAAAAAUGUGAUGUGG